rnacentral:rRNA from 1 species
CUAUCGGGGUUGAUUAAGCCAUGCGAGUCGAGAAAGGUUUUGGCCCUCGGCGAACUGCUCAGUAACACGUGGAUAAUCUACCCUGGGGAGGAGGAUACUCCCGGGAAACUGGGGUUAAUACUCCAUAGCAAUGAUGCACUGGAAUGUCAUCGUUGCGAAAGAUCCGUCGCCCCAGGAUGAGUCUGCGUCCGAUUAGGUAGUUGUUGGGGUUACUGCCCAACAAGCCGAUAAUCGGUACGGGUUGUGGGAGCAAGAGCCCGGAGAUGGAUUCUGAGACACGAAUCCAGGCCCUACGGGGCGCAGCAGGGCGCGAAACCUUUUACAAUGCGGGCAACCGUGAUAAGGAAACCCCGAGUGGCCCGUAAGAGCGGGCUGUCCAUCUGUUUAACCAGCAGGUGAAGAAAAGGGGCCGGGGCAAGUACCGGUGCCAGCCGCCCGCGGUAAUACCGGCGGCUCGAGUGGGUGGGCCACUAUUACUGGGGCUUAAAGGGUCCGUAGCUUUGAGCAAUAAGUCCCUUGGGAAAUUCAGCAGCUUAACUGGGUGACAGUUCAGGGGGAAAACUGUUGUUCUAGGGAUCGGGAGAGGUAAGUGGGUACUGCCGGGGUAGGAGUGAAAAUCCCUGUAAUCCCGGUGGGACCCACCGGGUGGCGAAAGGCGUCUUUACCAGAAACGACUCCGACAGUGAGGGACGAAAGCUGGGGG